rnacentral:rRNA from 1 species
UACGGAGGAUGCAAGCGUUAUCCGGAUUCAUUGGGUUUAAAGGGUGCGCAGGUGGGAAUGUAAGUCAGUGGUGAAAUACUGCCGCUUAACGGUAGAGCUGCCAUUGAUACUGCGUUUCUUGAGUAUGGUUGAGGUAGGUGGAAUGUGUUGUGUAGCGGUGAAAUGCAUAGAUAUGACACAGAACGCCGAUUGCGAAGGCAACUUACUAAGCCAUUACUGACGCUGAGGCACGAAAGCGUGGGUAGCGAACAGGAUUAGAUACCCUGGUAGUCCACGCCGUAAACGAUGUUCACUCGCUGUUUGCGAUACACAGUAAGCGGCUGAGCGAAAGCAUUAAGUGAACCACCUGGGGAGUACGAUCGCAAGGUUG